UGUGGAGUGUAUACAACAGGUUGCGAAC
rnacentral:piRNA from 1 species